rnacentral:rRNA from 1 species
GACGUAGGGGGCGAGCGUUGUCCGGAUUUAUUGGGCGUAAAGCGUGCGUAGGCGGCUGCGCAAGUCGGGUGUGAAACCCCGGGGCUCAACCCCGGAACUGCAUCCGAUACUGCGUGGCUAGAGGUAGGUAGGGGAGAUCGGAAUUCCUGGUGUAGCGGCGAAAUGCGCAGAUAUCAGGAGGAACACCGGUGGCGAAGGCGGAUCUCUGGGCCGUACCUGACGCUCAGGCACGAAAGCUAGGGGAGCGAACAGG